rnacentral:rRNA from 1 species
AGCAGCCGCGGUAAUUCCAGCUCCAAUAGCGUAUAUUAAAGUUGCUGCAGUUAAAAAGCUCGUAGUUGAAUUUCGGGAUCAAUAUGUUGGUCGUGCCUCGGUACGUACUAGCUUAUUGGUUUCUUCCUUCUGACGAACCAUAAUGUCAUUUAUUUGGUGUUAUGGGGAAUCAGGACUGUUACUUUGAAAAAUUAGAGUGUUUAAAGCAGGCUCACGCUUGAAUACAUUAGCAUGGAAUAAUGAAAUAGGACGUUUGAUUCUAUUUUGUUGGUUUCUAGGAUCGACGUAAUGAUUAAUAGGGAUAGUUGGGGGCAUUAGUAUUCAAUUGUCAGAGGUGAAAUUCUUGGAUUUAUUGAAGACUAACUACUGCGAAAGCAUUUGCCAAGGAUGUUUUCAUUAAUCAAGAACGAAAGUUAGGGGAUCGAAGACGAUCAGAUACCGUCGUAGUCUUAACCAUAAACUAUGCCGACUAGGGAUCGGAUGAUGUUAAUUUUUAAUGUACU